rnacentral:lncRNA from 1 species
AAAGUAACAUUUCCAUCAACCGAUGGCAAGACAAUAAUCCGCGGAUUGCAUAUAAUAUAUGUGUGUAUGUAUAGCCGGUGCUAUAAUUCUCAUAUGCAUCCUCCUCGACCUACGUUGGUAGGUGCUUACAUACAUAUGCUCAUAUAUUCACAUACGAGUAGUACGAGAAGUAAAACCGAGAAAGCAGAGCUGCCGACAAAUGUGAACUAACAUGGCAUGUAUAUGCGUUACUUCAACUUGCACUUUAGGCCUUGCCAGAUUCCUCGCAGCCUGGUGGCCUGAAGGCAAUGAAGCUGACGCACUGCACCUGGCGCAUGUUGUCGAAGCCGAUGACGCGGACAUAGGCAUCAGGGUACUCCUUCUUGACCUCCUCCACCUCGCUGAGCACCUGCGUUGCGUCGGUGCACCCGAACAUAGGCAGCUUCCACAUUGUCCAGUAUCGACCGUCGUAGUAGCCGGGGGAGCUGUUGUGCUCACGGAAGACGAAGCCAACCUUGCUGAACUCGAGGCAGGGCACCCACUUGGAGCGGAUCAGGUAGUCGACCUGCUUUAGGAGGGCCUCCGUGGAGAGGGGUGGCAAGUAAGACAGGGUCUCGAACUUCUUGAUGCCCUCAAUCGGCCACACCUGAAUAGAUGGAAUGAACACAAUUGAUCAACACUUGGUGCUUAAAGAAAGACCUGGCCAUAAGUCAAAAAUUACUCCUUAUGGUCUGCCCAUACAUUGUGGGGGGUCUCCACAAGCAAGAAGGCUCAAGGGCAGCAGCUCUUGCUUCAGGUUCAGGGUAGUGUACGGGCAUUAAAAAUGAUAUUAUCUAGUACACAUUGCGAUAAAAUCAAUUUCCGUUCACAAAGUUUAUGAGUUAAAUAUUCCUACACAUGUGAACCUGCUUACGGACUACAUACAUUGUGAUGCACCAUCUUAGUUUACUUUGGCCUGGUGUGUGGGUUACACAUCCUAAUUAAGGAUAGCUUUGGCUAUGUACAGUGGAAAUAUCCGAUAAAUUAAUCAACUGUGCCGACAAGAAUAUUCGUGUGAGCUUAGUGUUCGUCCUACCUCGCAAAAAUAAUACUCUGUCCGAUACAAAAUAAGUGUUGCUGUUUUGUAUUAAGAUUACCGAGGAAGUAAUUAGUGUUCAUACCUGCAUGCAUCUGAUCCUUCCGCCAUUGCUGACGCUGCUGAGACCGGCGCUGCCGGAGCGGCGGCUGACGGGGAGGCCGGCGGUCGACUUGAGCCCCUGGAAGGGCGCGACGGUGGUGGCGGACGAUGCCAUCACGGCUGGGGCCAUGGCACGUGAAUUGCUAGGUGGGGAGGCGAUAGCUAGCUUGGCUACACCCCUCAUCCCGCUCCGGUAUAUAUAUCACCGUAUGCGCAGCACCGCCCCUUUCCAACAAGAUUUCCAGCCCUCAUCGGUGGCCGUCCUUUGCCUGCUGCAAGGCGCCUUAUCCCUCUGGAUAAGCGGAAGAGGGGUGGCCCUCCGAUGCAUUGCGUGUGACUGCUGCAUGGGCAAACGAAAUCUACAUCACUCCGAUUGCUAAUAAGCAAUACAAUGAUUAUUCCAUCGUUAGAUUAGCUCCAUUUUGAUUUAUUUUGUUUCCGGAAAGUUACUCUCCCAGAAAUUACUCCUCCCAAGAUUUGUGUCGAGGUAAUUGUAUCAGUGGCGCUUGAACUUGCCAUCGAUGUUCAUUUUAGUGCCUGAGCUUGAAAAAUACGUUCAACUGGUUAUAUAUAUAUGGCACUCUUGUUCAAAUAUGGUUCAAACACGUUUGGGUAUGUAUGUGUUGCUGACUAGGCAUGCCAGCAUGGCACGGAGCCCACUUGCAGUUUCGGGACAGGCUCACUUGCAAAGUAUACACUCCAUUGCAAUUGGGUCCCACAUGUCAGGGCACAACAACAAAGAAAAACUAGCCGUGGUUGUCAAGGCUCCCACUAAUUUUGAUUUAUUUUAUUUCCAAAAGGUUACUGCUCCCGAAAAUUACUCAUCGAAGAUUUGUGUUUGUGUCUCACUCCAUGUGGUUGGGGAGGAUAACAUUGUGCCCGUCCGUAUUAGAAAUGAUGGCAACUAGCAAGGGGGAAGGGAUGCGGGGCGGAGCGACAAAUGAACGAUGGAGAUGCACCCGGGGCCAGUAUAAGUAGAAGGUUGGCUUCGCGGAUCGCCGCGCACUAUCUGAUGAGGUGUAUCCAUCCACCUGGCGCCUGGGGUAGGCUCAUCAGCACCGAACAAGCUACAAUCCAUCAGAAUCCUAAUGCAAGAUGCUCACCUGCCAAACACAACCGACGUGACAAACCACUCGGACGAUACCAAGUCACUCGAACGGGUCAAGUACACUAGGUCAUUCGGAUGGAGUUCAUCAUUGUUUGAAUACAUGAAACACUCAGAGGCACGAAGUGAUCAUGCGGAGAAGGCACUGAUACGUCUCCAACGUAUCUAUAAUUUAUGAAACAUUCAUGUUAUUAUAUUAUCUGUUUUGAAUGAGUAUGGACUUUAUUAUACACUUUUAUAUUACUUUUGGAACGAACCUACUAACCGGAGGCCCAUACCAUAUUCUUGUUUUCUUGCCUAUUUCAGUGUUUCGAAGAAAAGGAAUAUCAAACGGAGUCCAAAUGGAAUGAAACCUUUGGUAACUUUGUAGCGACCAGGCCUCAAACAGUCUGAUCUCUGUGCAUCAGUGUCAUCCCUGGAUCGGUAAUGCUGACACGCACAGUACUUGAAGGAUUUAUAACAGAGUAGCAAUCACAUAUUUAUUACAUCGAAUGUCUCAAAAGAGAACUUAUUACAAUAAAUAUGGCUUAAGGCCAUCUAAUAACGAUAACAGCGGAAGACUUGGAAGAUAAGCGAGUCCAUCAACUCCAGCGGCAUCACUGAGUAUAAUACCACGACCUAAGGCAUCUUACUCAUCGUCUGAAAAGUCUGCAACAUGAACGUUGUAGCCCGAAAACGGGUCAGCACAUGGAGUAUGCUGGCAAUGUAACACAUAGAGAGUAAUGAACAGAAUAACGCUAUCACUACAUGCAUAUAUGGUUGGUGGAAAGCUCUAUGGUUACAGUUUUGCAUAAAGCCAUUUUUUCCUACUGCAAAGGAAUAAAUUUUAUUUAACUAUCAUGGUGGUUGUUAAACAUUGAGACGGUUCACCCAACUCAAUCCCAAUUAAGCAACAUCAUUAAUCCAACAAGAUUAAAUUAAGUAACAUGAUGAGAUUCACAUGAAAAUCUAGGUACUAGAUACUCAAAACGUCCAUAACCGGGGACACGGCUCACUAUGAUUAGUUUGUACACUCUGCAGAGGUUUACGCACUUUUCCCCACAAGACUCGAUCUUCUUCGUUGGAUUUCUCGCACUACAUGGUGUUUGAGAAACGGAUGACCGAGACACAAUCUUUCAGAAGUGUUAGCACCUUACGAUGGGUAGACCGUACCACCUACAUCCCCUACAUCUACUGGUCUACCACUGUAAGAGGUCACACAACUUACUCAACUAUGCCAGAGCCCAUAUUGGCAUGUGGCUGCACAGGGAAGUUUCUAGCAUGAAUAAUCUCAUGAUCCAUUUGAGCCUGGGUGGCGGUCCAUAGGAAAAUCACACGGUACCCCGGGAUUUCCAAAAAUACAAGCAACACUGGGUUCCCCAGGUGCCUCAAUCCACCCAGAUGUGAAUUUAAGUUGCCAGCUUAAAUAAACAAUUAAUUAACAAUCUCACAUCUGUCAUGGAUACACUCACCCAAUCCACGUCUACUAGCAUAGCAUAGCAAUAUAAGCAAACGUAGAAGUAACUCCCAAAGGUUUGAUAAUAAAACAGGAAAUAGGUACUACCUCAUCUACUUACCAAAACCCACAUAUUAAUCACAUCCUAACCAUGCAAUUGUUUGAAGAUUGAUCUAAUGCAAUAAAACUGGGUAGUAAGGAGGUAUGAUCAAAGUGUUAUUUGCCUUGCUGAUGAUCCGUGAAACCUAGAGACUCGUAGUAGCACGCGGCGCACUUCGGUACUCUAUCGUAAACAAACAAGCAUACAAUAAGCACUCAUCUAAUGCACAGGUAAAACUCAAAUAAAAGAUCUAACCAGAAAGUUCAACUUAAGAACUCAGGUUUGCAAAAAGAAUCAAAUCAAACGAAGCAACAAAAAUCAAACGGCGGAAGAAACGGGAUUUAUCUUACUAAUCUGGACCUAAGUCAAACUUUUACAAUAGCAAAAACUUGUUUCAGUUGGUUAAAUGGAAAGAGAAUUUCGAGACGAAACUAUAGGCGCUUGAAUCGCCUGAUUCCGAUAAACGAGUGAAAAGUUAUACUAGAACGAUAAUCGGAUCAGAAAUCGCGAUCAGAAAUAAUCACGGAAAAUCCGAGAAAAAGAAAAUGGACGAACAGGCUAACGAAUGAACGUUCGUUGUCUGCGGCUAAACGACGAAAACCGUUCGUUAAAACGAACAUACGGACGAACAUCCGCAAAAUAGACUAAAUCGGAAAAAAAACCGCUCUAAAAAAAUAAAAAAACGCAUCUCGAUUUUCGAAUAAAAACCGAACGGUUUNNNNNNNNNNNNNNNNNNNNNNNNNNNNNNNNNNNNNNNNNNNNNNNNNNNNNNNNNNNNNNNNNNNNNNNNNNNNNNNNNNNNNNNNNNNNNNNNNNNNNNNNNNNNNNNNNNNNNNNNNNNNNNNNNNNNNNNNNNNNNNNNNNNNNNNNNNNNNNNNNNNNNNNNNNNNNNNNNNNNNNNNNNNNNNNNNNNNNNNNNNNNNNNNNNNNNNNNNNNNNNNNNNNNNNNNNNNNNNNNNNNNNNNNNNNNNNNNNNNNNNNNNNNNNNNNNNNNNNNNNNNNNNNNNNNNNNNNNNNNNNNNNNNNNNNNNNNNNNNNNNNNNNNNNNNNNGCGGGGUCGCGGCGGUAGCGGCGGCGGCGCGGGUUAGAGUUAGGGUUAGGGUUUCGGUGGCGGCGGCGGGUGGGCUGGCGGUGGGCUGCGGGUGUCGGGGACGCGGCUUAAAAGGCCGAGGCCGGCGGGAGUCCGGGUCGCCCACGGCCCUUAGGUCGGUUAGCUUUUUUAAAAAUAAAUUUGGACGCAAAAAAACAAAUAAAAGAAAUACUAAACGGACUCCAAAAAUCCCGAAAUAAAUUUUCCCCGUCCUCUAAAAAUAAGCCGAACAAGAUGAAUAUUUAUUUGGGGUCUAAAUAUAGUUCUGGAAAACAAUCUUUUUUCCUAAAUUCAAAUAAAAUAGCGAAAAACUCCGAAAUAAAAUCUUAUUUGAUUUUUCUAUUAAAUCCUCAAUACUUCUUUAUUUUGGGAAAGUCAUUUUAUUCCCUCUCUCUUAUUUUUUAUUAGAAAUAUUUGAAGACAAAAUAAAUAAAAUCAAAUGAUCAUAUUUUCAAAUUUUGAGAAAACUCAAAUAUGAAAAUAACGAAAUCCCCAACUCUCUCCGUGGUCCUUGAGUUGCGUAAAAAUUUUAGGAUCAAGGCAAAAAUGCAAUAAAAUAUGAUAUGCAAUGAUGAUCUAUUGUAUAAUAUUCCAAAUUGAAAAUUUGGGAUGUUACAAACCUACCCCCCUUAAGAUGAAUCUCGCCCUCGAGAUUCGGGUUGGCUAAAAAAUAGGUGAGGGUGGUCCUUCAGUAAAUCUUCUUCUCGCUCCCAGGUGGCUUCAUCUUCGGUAUGGUGGCUCCACUGAACUUUGCAAAACUUGAUAACCUUGCUACGGGUGACUCAGCUGGCAUACUCGAGAAUCUUCACUAGUUUCUCCUCAUAGGUCAAAUCAUUAUCCAGCUGAAUCGCUUCCAGUGGCACCGUAUCUCUCAACGGUAUAUCAGCCAUCUCUGUGUGGCACUUCUUCAACUGAAAAACGUGAAACACAUCAUGAACUCCUGACAAUCCUUCGGGCAAUUCCAACUUGUAAGCAACUUCUCCCAUACGCUCCAAAACUUUGCAUGGUCCUACAAAACGUGGUGCUAACUUUCCCUUAACUCCAAAACGCUUAACUCCUUGAAGUGGGGACACACGAAGAUAAACUCUGUCUCCGACUUCGUAGACUGUCUCCUUGCGUUUAGAAUCUGCAUAGCUCUUCUUCCUAGACUGGGCUACCUUGAGCCUAUCGCGAAUCAUCUUCACCUUCUGUUCAGACUCUUUGAUCAAAUCUGGCCCAAACAACUGACGGUCUCCAAUUUUGUCCCACAACAACGGUGUCCUGCACCUCCUUCCAUACAAAGCUUCGAAAGGGGCCAUCUUCAAACUGGAUUGGUAACUGUUGUUGUAAGAGAAUUCUGCAUACGGCAAAUUCCCGUCCCAACUAGAUCCAUAAUCUAGCGCACAAGCUCUCAGCAUGUCCUCCAGAAUCUGAUUGACUCUCUCGGUCUGUCCAUCUGUCUGUGGAUGAAAGGAUGUACUGAACUCUAGCCUGGUACCCAAAGUUUUGUGCAACUGAUUCCAGAACUUUGAGGUAAACUGGGUUCCUCUAUCUGAUACAAUGCUCCUCGGAACUCCAUGCAGACAUACGAUCCUGGUCAUGUAUAUCAUUGCCAACUUAGCACUGGUUUAAGUGGUCUUUACUGGGAUGAAAUGAGCUACCUUCGUCAAACGAUCGACUACAACCCAUAUUGAGUCAUAGCCGGAACGAGUCAUGGGCAAUCCCGUGAUAAAGUCCAUGCCUAGCUUAUCCCACUUCCAUUCGGGUAUUGGCAAUGGUUGUAGCAAUCCUGCUGGCUUCUGAUGCUCUGCCUUCACUCUCUGACAUACAUCACAUACUGCUACAUAUUCCGCAAUAUCCUUCUUCAUUCCGGUCCACCAGAAAAUGUCCUUCAAAUCCAGAUACAUCUUGGUAUUUCCUGGGUGAAUCGAAUAUGGCGAAUCAUGGGCCUCUUGCAGAUCAACUUCCUGAUCUCCGGGUCAUUAGGCACAUACACGCGGUCUUCAAACCAUAAGGUAUCGUGCUCAUCCUCACGAAAACCUUUAGCUUUUCCUUUGCUCAUCUUCUCCUUUAUCUCGGCAAUCUCUUUGUCUGUCUUCUGAGCUUCUAUGAUCUUAUCCAUCAAGGUAGACUGAAUCUCCAACGCUGCAACAUAGCCUCUCGGAACUAUCUCCAAAAAUAGCUCGCGAAGAUCCUCGGCUAACUCCUUUGGUAACUCUCCGGUCAUGAGAGUGUUAACAUGGCUCUUGCGGCUCAAUGCAUCGGCUACUACGUUAGCCUUUCCGGGGUGAUAAUGCAAUCUCAUAUCAUAAUCCUUGAUGAGCUCCAACCAUCUCCUUUGCCUGAGAUUCAACUCCUUCUGUGUGAAAAUGUACUUCAAACUCUUAUGAUCGGUGUACACCUCACAAUGGUUUCCGAUGAGAAAAUGUCUCCAUGUCUUCAAUGCAUGCACUACGGCUGCUAACUCCAAAUCAUGUGUAGCAUAAUUCAACUCAUGGGGCUUAAGAUGUCAUGAGGCAUACGAAACAACUCUUCCCUCAUGCAUAAGCACUGCUCCAAGUCCUCGACGAGAAGCGUCGCAAUAUACUUCAUAAUCCUUGCGCUGAUCUAGCAGAAUCAACACCGGUGAUGUAACCAAAUGUUUCUUCAACUCCUGAAAACUGGCCUCACAUUCCUUAGUCCAUUUGAACUUGGUGUCCUUCUUCAACAACUCUGUCAUGGGCUUCGCAAUCUUCGAAAAAAAUUCAAUGAACCUCCGGUAGUAUCCUGCGAGUCCAAGAAAACUCCGGAUCUCUCCAACUGUCGUUGGGGCUUCCCAUUUUGUCACAGUGACAAGUUUGGUGGGGUCUACUGCUAUUCCUUCUCCGGAUAUAACAUGUCCGAGAAAUCCAACUUCCUUCAACCAAAACUCACAUUUGUUGAAUUUGGCAUAUAACUGAUGUUCUAUGAGCUUCUCGAGUACCAAACGCAAAUGUUCCUUAUGCUCCUCUUCAUUCUUUGAGUAGAUAUGAAUAUCAUCAAUGAACACCACGACAAACUUAUCCAGAAACUCCAUAAACACCUUGUUCCUCAUGUUCAUGAAAUAGGCAGGUGCGUUAGUCAGACCAAAUGACAUAACGGUAUACUCAUACAGCCUGUACCUGCUGGUAAAAGCUGUCUUUGAUAUAUCCUAUUAUCGAAUCUUCAGCUGGUGGUAUCCUGAUCGCAGAUUGAUCUUGGAGAAUACCUUAGCUCCUUGCAAUUGGUCAAAUGAGUCAUUGAUCAUCGGUAGUGGAUACUUGUUCUUGAUUGUUACUUCAUUCAAACCUCGAUAAUCAACAACCAUCCUUAAUGAUCCAUCCUUCUUCUCCACUAGAAGCACUAGCGAUCCCCAAGGUGAAGAACUUGGGCGAAUGAAACCUUUAUCCAAUAGUUCCUUAAUCUGCUUCUUAAUUUCUUCCAAAUCCUGUGCGGGCAUCCUGUAUGGUCUUUUAGAUAUCGGCAUUGUGCCUGGAAAAAGCUCAAUCAAAAACUCAAUGUCUCUAUCCGGUGGCAUGCCUAGCAACUCUUCUGGAAAUACGUAAGGAAAAUCCUUCACCACUGGUACUUCCUCCUGUACAACUCAUGUUAAGGAAUUUACUUGAGUCCUCUUUGGCUCGUGCCGGGAUACAUACUUGAUCCUUCUUCCUUCUGGGGUGGUAAGCAAAAUCGACUUACUGGCGCAUUCAAUGUUCCCUUCAUACUUCGAUAACCAAUCCAUGCCUAAUAUCACAUCUAGUCCUUGCCACUCCAAUACUAUUAGGUCAGAGGGAAACACAUAGUUACCAAUCCUUAAUGGUAACCGAUCACACCAUAGACUAGCCAUAUACGCUGCUCCUGGCGAGGUUACUAUUAUGGGUGACCUAAGGGCUUGGGUUGGCAGUUUAUACUUAUCCACAAAUCCCCAUGAUAUGUAUGAAUGCGAUGCACCAGUAUCAAAAAGAACGAUUAGAGUAAAUGACUUAACCAAAAACUUACCAAUUACUGCAUCUGGCUAGGCUCAACCUCCUCCACGCUAAUGUGGUUUACCUGUCCCUUGUUGAAAGGGUUAGGCUUCUUCCCAGAGCUCCCAUUGCCAUUUCCAUUCUUAGCUUCAGGACAUUCAUUGGCAUAAUGUCCAGUCUUCUGGCACUUGUAGCAAGUGACGUGGCUCAGAUCCUUCUUGGCUAGGGUUGGUGGGUUGGUACGGUUCUGACCGUUGCUUACUCCAUUACCAUUCCCAUUCCAAGGGCCACUAUGGUUGUGCGAACUCCCUCCUCCGUGGGUAUGCUGAAAAGGUCCUCCCAUGUUCGGGGUAAAACGAGGCUUCUGCUGAGCUCCAGAAUUGUACUUCCCUUGUCCAUACUUCCUCUUGCGGCUGUCAAUCUGCUGCUGCUUCCCUUCAAUCAUGAGAGCUCGGUCUACCAACUCCUGGUAGUUGUUGGAGGUUGCUACCAUCAACUGAAUGCUCAGCUCAUCAUUCAGUCCUUCCAGAAACUUCUCCUACUUAGCUGCAUCCGUAGCAACGUCAUCUGGUGCAUAACGUGCUAGCUUACUAAAGUCAUCCACAUACUGGCCAACAGUACGUCCUCCUUGGCGUAAGUUGUGAAACUCACGCUUCUUCAUGGCCAUAGCUCCUGCUAAAACAUGGGCAGUAUGGAAAGCUUACUGAAACUGAUCCCAUGUGACAGUGUCGAUAGGAUAAGUGGCUGUGAAAUUCUCCCACCAUGAUGUUGCGGGUCCAUCAAGCUGGUGUGCGGCAAAGCGCACUCUUUCCGCAUCCGUGCAUCCUGCAGUGGUCAACUCCCUUCCAAUCUUGCGGAGACAAUCAUAUGCAACAAUCGGCUCAGUGCUACUGGAAAACACCGGCGGAUUUAGCCUAAGAAAAUGGGCUAAGCGAUCAACAGGUGGUGGUGGUGGUGGGUUUUGUUGUUGUUGUUCCCCUGAUUCUGAUUCUGGACUAGUAACUUCAUCAAUGCAUUCUGCUGCUGGAUCAACUGAGUGAGCUCCGAUGGGAAAGCAAAUCCAUUGUCACGCCUCGGAGGCAUCUGAUAGGUUUAGAAAAGAUGAGGAAAUAGAAUAGAAAGAGGUCUAGAGGGAAAACACUACCCAUAUGCACAUGAGACAAAAGCAAACAAUAUCACUCCAAUCAAUUCAAACAAGGGCAUAAAAUCGGUCUAACUAUCGUUACAAAAGUGCUUGGACUAUACUAUAUACAUGGGGAAAUACUACUAUUGUUAUGAUGGUCGACUAGAAAAAUUGAUCCGUCGAAGACUCCAUGAUAUCUGCUCCAGCUUCAUCAACAAAGUCAUCAUCACUAUCGUCCGGGUCCGAGUCGGUGUCGUCGAUGAUGAUGUAGUUCUUCAGGCAAGUGCAAUCAUCGUCUUCUCCUCCUGGCACGGGGUCUCCCAUAAAAACUCCGAUCUUCUUUACGAGGUCGUCAUUCUUCUCCAAAAGUGUUACAAUCUCCUCCUCACAUCCAUCACGUGUAGACAUGAGUUCUUGCUCUAGUUCUAUGAUCUUGGUCAUAGCCUUCUUCAGAUCUAUCAUGCCUGCGCACAUCUGGUUCUCCUGGCGAUGAAUGUGCUAGUUUAACUCUUGGAUGAAAGUUGCAAUUGAUCUAUCCUUCCAGGUGCUGAUCAUCUCCCAUUGCUCAUCUCGGCGCCCACAAAUCUGGUAAAUAGUAUCCUUGGGAUCCUUGUGGUAAACUUCUCCAAUGCGUCCCAUGGUGAUGUGGGUUGCCAUACUCUUUCCUAAACUCCAGGUUGGUGCAUCAAAAGAAAACUCUAUGGGCUCAGUGACGGGCAUGAAUGUCCUUCCUGGAACUUGAAGUUGAAUCAUCCAAUGCUCCUCUUCUGGUAAAGUGGCGAUGUAGGUCCCGGUGAAGCUUGGUACUCCGAUGUUUAGGUACUUAGUGACUUCCUUCAAGUGGCAUCCAAAGUGUGUAUCUUCAUUCGGUUGCGUGAACUUGUUCCUUGCAUCCGCCAUCCUAAAAUAGUAGAAAAGAUGAGGAGUCAGAAAUGAGAAGAGAGAGUAGUGAUCUAGGGCUUUAGCUUAGUGGUCGUGUCCUACAGUCGGCGUGUGCUCUGAUACCAUCUUGUAGUGACCAGACCUCAAACGGUCUGAUCUCUAUGCAUCAGUGUCAUCCCUGGAUCGGUAAUGCUAACACGCACAGUACUUGAAGGAUUUAUAACAAAGUAGCAAUCACACACUUAUUACAUCGAAUGUCUCAAAAGAGAACUUAUUACAAUAAAUAUGGCUUAAGGCCAUUUAAUAACGAUAACAACGGAAGACUUGGAAGAUAAGCGAGUCCAUCAACUCCAACGGCAUCACUAAGUAUAAGACCACGACCUAAGGCAUCCUACUCAUCGUCUGAAAAGUCUGCAACAUGAACGUUGCAGCCUAAAAACGGGUCAGCACAUGGAAUACGCUGGCAAUGUAACACAUAGAGAGUAAUGAACAGAAUAAUGCUAUCACUACAUGCAUAUAUGGCUGGUGGAAAGCUCUAUGGUUACAGUUUUGCAUAAAGCUAAUUUUUCCCUACUUCAAAGGAAUAAAUUUUAUUUAACUAUCAUGGUGGUUGUUAAACAUUAAGAAGGUUCACCCAACUCAAUCCCAAUUAAGCAUCAUCAUUAACCCAACAAGAUUAAAUUAAGUAACACGAUGAGAUUCACAUGAAAAUCCAGGUACUAGAUACUCAAAACGUCCAUAACCGGGGACACAGCUAACCAUGAUUAGUUUGUACACUCUGCAGAGGUUUGCGCACUUUUCCCCACAAGACUCGAUCUCCUCCGUUGGAUUUCUCGCACUACAAGGUGUUUGAGAAACGGAUGACUGAGACACAAUCUUUCAGAAGCGUUAGCACCUUACGAUGGGUAGACCAUACACCUACAUCCCCUACAUCUGCUAGUCUACCACUAUAAGAGGUCACAUAACUUACUCAACUAUGCCAGAGCCCAUAUUGGCAUGUGGCUGCACACGGAAGUUUCUACCAUGAAUAAUCUCAUGAUCCCUUUGAGCCUGGGUGGCGGUCCAUAGGAAAAUCACACGGUACCCCGGGAUUUCCAAAAAUACAAGCAACACUGGGUUCCCCAGGUGCCUCAGUCCACCCAGAUGUGAAUUUAAGUUGCCACCUUAAAUAAACCAUUAAUUAACAAUCUCACAUCUAUCAUGGAUACACUCACCCAAUCCACGUCUACUAGCAUAGCAUAGCAAUAGAAGUAAACGUAGAAGUAACUCCCAAAGGUUUGAUAAUAAAACAGGUAAUAGGUACUACCUCAUCUACUUCCCAAAACCCACAUAUUAAUCACAUCCUAACCAUGCAAUUGUUUGAGGAUUGAUCUAAUGCAAUAAAACUGGGUAGUAAGGAGGUAUGAUCAAAGUGUUACUUGCCUUGCUGAUGAUCCGUGAAACCUAGAGACUGUAGUAGCACGCGGCGCACUCCGGGUACUCUAUCGUAAACAAACAAGUAUACAAUAAGCACUCAUCUAGUGCACAGGUAAAACUCAAAUAAAAGAUCUAACCAGAAAGUUCAACUUAAGAACUCCGGUUUGCAAAAAGAAUAAAAUCAAACGAAGCAACAAAAAUCAAACGGCGGAAGAAACAGGCUUCGUCUUACUAAUCUGGACCUAAGUCAAAAUUUUACAGUAGCAAAAACUUGUUUGAGUUGGUUAAACAGAGAGAGAAUUUCGAGACGAAACUCUAGGCGCUUGACUCGCCUGAUUCCGAUAAACGAACGAAAAGUUAUGCUAGAACGAAAAUCGGAUCAGAAAUUGCGAUCAGAAAUAAUCACGGAAAAUACGAGAAAAAGAAAACGUACGAACAGGCUAAGGAACGAAUGUUCGUUGUCUGCGGCUAAACAACGAAAACCGUUCGUCAAAACGAACGUACGGACGAACGUCCGCAAAAUACACUAAACCAGGAAAACAAUAAAACCGCUCUAAAAAAAUAAAAAAACGCAUCUCGGUUUUCGAAUAAAAACCAAACGGUUUUUUAGGUAAAACCGACGACUACCUCGGGACACGUGACGGCGGCGGCGGCGGGCAUCUCCGGCGAGGCGGCAUCUAGAGGCGGCGGUGGGCGGCGGGGUCAUCGUCCAGCGGCGACGGCGAGACGGUGCGGCGGCGGCGCGGGGUCGCGGCGGCGGCGAUGGCGGCGGUGGCGUGGGUUAGGGUGAGGGUCAGGGUUUCGGUGGCGGUGGCGGGUGGGUUGGCGGUGGGCUGUGGGGGUCGGGGGCGCGGCUUAAAAGGCCCGGGGCGGCAGGAGUCCGGGUCGCCCACGGCCCGUUAGGUCGGCUAGUUUUUUUAAAAGAAAAACCGGAUGCAGAAAAAUAAAUAAAAGAAAUACUAAACAGACUCAAAAAAUCCUGAAAUAAAUUUUCCCCGUCCUCUAAAAAUAAGCCAGACAAGAUGAACAUUUAUUUGGGGCCUAAAUGCAGUCUUGAAAAACACGCAUUUGUCCUAAAUUCAAACAAAAUAGCGAAAAACUCUGAAAUAAAAUCUUAUUUGACUUUUUUAUUAAAUCCUCAAUACUUCUUUAUUUUGGAAAUUCAUUUUAUUCCCUCUCUCUUAUUUUUGUAUUAGAAAUAUUUGAAGACAAAAUAAAUAAAAUCAAAUGAUCCUAUUUUCAAAUUUUGAGAAAACUCAAAUAUGAAAAUAACGAAAUCCCCAACUCUCUCCGUGGGUCAUUGAGUUGCGUAGAAUUUCUAGGAUCAAGGCAAAAAUGCAAUAAAAUAUGAUAUGCAAUGAUGAUCUGUUGUAUAACAUUCCAAAUUGAAAAUUUGGGAUGUUACAAACUUAUUUUUGGAACAAAAGCAAUCCAGGGAACUUGGAGUGCAAGCCAGGGAAGCUCCGAGGAGGCCACGAGGGUGGGGGCACCCCCCCCCUACUGGGCGCGCCCCCUGUCUCGUAGACCCCUCAAGCGUCCCUCGACCGACUUCUUUCGCCUAUAUAUUCCCAUAUACCCUAAAAACAUCGAAACAGAAGAUAGAUCGGGAGUUCCGCCGCCGCAAGCCUCUGUAGCCACCAAAAACCAAUCGGGACCCUGUUCCAGUACCCUGCCAGAGGGGGGAUCCCUCACCGAUGGCCAUCUUCAUCAUCCCGACGCUCUCCAUGACGAGGAGGGAGUAGUUCACCCGAGGGGCUGAGGGUAUGUACCAGUAGCUAUGUGUUUGAUCUCUCUCGCUCGUGUUCUCUCUAUGGAACGAUCUUGAUGUAUCGCGAGCUUUGCUAUUAUAGUUGGAUCUUAUGAUGUUUCUCCCCCUCUACUCUCUUGUAAUGGAUUGAGUUUUCCCUUUGAAGUUAUCUUAUCGGAUUGAGUCUUUAAGGAUUUGAGAACACUUGAUGUAUGUCUUGUCGUGCUUAUCUAUGGUGACAAUGGGAUAUCACGUGAUGCACUUGAUGUAUGUUUUGGUGAUCAACUUGUGGGUUCCUCCCAUGAACCUAUGCAUAGGGGUUGGCACACCUUUUCGUCUUGACUCUCUGGUAGAAACUUUGGGGCACUCUUUGAAGUACUUUGUGUUGGUUGAAUAGAUGAAUCUGAGAUUGUGUGAUGCAUAUCGUGUAAUCAUGCCCACGGAUACUUGAGGUGACAAUGGAGUAUCUAGGUGACAUUAGGGUUUUGGUUGAUUUGUGUCUUAAGGUGUUAUUCUAGUAUGAACUCUACGAUAGAUCGAACGGAAAGAAUAGCUUCAUGUUCUUUUAUUACGGACUCUUGAAUAGAUAGAACAGAAAGGAUAACUUUGAGGUGGUUUCGUACCCUACCAUAAUAUCUUUGUUUGUUCUCCGCUAUUAGUGUCUUUGGAGUGACUCUUUGUUGCAUGUUGAGGGAUAGUUAUAUGAUUCAAUUAUGUUAUUAUUGUUGAGAGAACUUGCACUAGUGAAAGUAUGAACCUUAGGCCUUGUUUCCUACCAUUGCAAUACCGUUUACGCUCACUUUUAUCAUUAGUUACCUUGCUGUUUUUAUAAUUUCAGAUUACAAAUACCUAUAUCUACCAUCCAUAUUGCACUUGUAUCACCAUCUCUUCGCCGAACUAGUGCACCUAUACAAUUUACCACUGUAUUGGGUGUGUUGGGGACACAAGAAACUCUUUGCUAUUUGGUUGCAGGGUUGUUUGAGAGAGACCAUCUUCAUCCUACGCCUCCCACGGAUUGAUAAACCUUAGGUCAUCCACUUGCACUAGUAGAAAAGGGGGCAUUGGUCCAGGCCGGAUCAGCCCAUUAGUCCCAGUUCAGUCCAGAACCGAGACCAAUGGUGGCAUUGGACCCGGUUCGUGAGCCCCUGGGGCUGGCCGGGCCACAUGGGCCAUUGGUCCCGGUUCGUCUGGACCUUUUGGUCCCGGUUGGUGGGACGAACCGGAACCAAUGGGCCUCGCUCCUGGCCCACCACCAUUGGUCCCGGUUGGUGCCACGAACCGGGACCAAAGGCUGCCCUUUAGUCCCAGUUCAUGCCACCAACCGGGACCAAUGAGGUGCCUAUAUAUACCCCCUUGCGUAAGAGCAGAGCACACUGCUCUAUUUUUUCUGGCCGCCGAGGGGGAGAGGGCUUGGUGGUGCUCUAGCUCACCUCCUAUGCACACAAGGUGUUCGAUGGAAUGCCCGAGCCACACUACUUAAGCUUUGUCCUCUCCAAGCUCGACCUCCAAGCUCCAUUUUCCUCAAUAUUUGUCUAGGUUUAGCGGCCCGUCACGCCCCGUCCCCGUCUUCACCGCCGUCGAUCACCCACGCCGAUAUCAUCGUCGGCACCACCGUGGUGAGCCUCUUGUUCUUAUCUUCUUUCUGAAAGGAAAAAUAUUCUUACUUGUAUGUUUAGAUAGAUACUUGUAUUAUUUCUUACUUUUAUUAUUGCAUCUUAUAUAGUGCGAUAGUUUUGGUAUCCGCCCCCGUCGGCCCUCGUCCUGUCUAUGAUUCGGAUCUGGUAUAUAUAUUAUAUUUUCAUAACUAUUGGUUCAUUUAUUGUUUAUGAAAAUUAUGCCGACCAACGUGACAUAGAUUUUAUUUAUCUAGGAGGUUGUUGAACCGGAAAUUCCAACCGACCCUGUUGUUGAGAGGUCAAAUUUAGUUGAAGAAGAAAACAAUUUCUUGAAGGAAAAAAUAAGAAAAAUUGAGGAGGAGAAGAUGAUAUUGGAGUUGCAUGUUGCGGAUGUCGUCGAUGAUCACAAGAUCAAGAUGGAUGCAAUGCGCUUGAAGAUUAGAAAGAUUAGAAAAUAUGCCAUUCAUACCGAGGCUUGGUAUCAUUAUGCCGUUGGAUCAGUUGUUACCUUGGUUGCGAUUAUGAUCGCUUUGUUUUCGCAUUGAAAUGUUUUACAUAGUUUCAAUGUAUGGUUUAAUUAAUUUAGAUGCUCUGCAGAGCUUUAUGUUGUUCUUAAUGAUUUUCACUUGAAGAUGAGAACUAUGUAUGUACUUUGGUUUUAAUGUCAUGAUGAACUUCUAUUAAUUUGGUCACUUAGUUAUCUAUUCGUGAUGUUCUGUAAUGAUUUUUGACACACUUAAUUAUAUAUAAUGCACGCAGAUGAAUCGGCAAUGGAUGUACGGUAACAGACACACCUCCGAGUACAUUAAGGGCGUGCAUGAUUUUCUCGAAGUGGCUGAGGCAAACAAGCAGAAUGGUUUUAUGUGUUGUCCAUGCCCUAUAUGUGGGAAUACAAAGUCUUACUCUGACCGGAAAAUCCUUCACACCCACCUGCUUUACAAGGGUUUCAUGCCACACUAUAAUGUUUGGACGAGGCAUGGAGAAAUAGGGGUUAUGAUGGAAGAUGGUGAAGAAGAAGAGUACGAUGACAACUAUGUGCCCCCUGAAUACGGUGAUGCUACUGAACAUCAAGAGGAACCAGACGAUGUGCACGAUGAUGCUACAACGGGCGAAGCUGCUGAAGAUCAAGAGGAACCAGACGAUGUGCCCGAUGAUGAUGAUCUCCGUCGGGUCAUUGUCGAUGCAAGGACGCAAUGCGAAAGUCAAAAGGAGAAGCUGAAGUUCGAUCGCGUGUUAGAGGAUCACAAAAAAGGGUUGUACCCCAAUUGCGAAGAUGGCAACACAAAGCUCGGUACCGUACUGGAAUUGCUGCAGUGGAAGGAGAGAAUGUUGUGCCAGACAAAGGAUUUGAGAAGCUACUGAAAAUAUUGAAGAAGAAGCUUCCAAAGGAUAACGAGUUGCCCAACGGUACAUACGCAGCAAAGAAGGUCGUAUGCCCUCUAGGAUUGGAGGUGCAGAAGAUACAUGCAUGCCCUAAUGACUGCAUCCUCUACCGCGGUGCAUAUAAGGAUCUGAACGCAUGCCCGGUAUGCGGUGCAUUACGGUAUAAGAUCAGAUGAGAUGACCCUGGUGAUGUUGACAGCGACCCCCCAGGAAGAGGGAUCCUGCGAAGGUGAUGUGGUAUGCUCCUAUAAUACCACGGUUGAACCGUCUGUUCAGAAACGGAGAGCAUGCCAAGUUGAUGCGAUGGCACAGUGAGGACCGUAAGAAAGACGGGAAGUUGAGAGCACCCGCUGACGGGUCGCAAUGGAGAGAAAUCGAGAGAAAGUACUGGGCUGAGUUUGCACGUGACCCAAGGAACGUAUGUUUUGCUUUAAGCGCGGAUGGCAUUAAUCCUUUCGGGGAGCAGAGCAGCAAUCACAGCACCUGGCCCGUGACUCUAUGUAUGUAUAACCUUCCUCCUUGGAUGUGCAUGAAGCGGAAGUUCAUUAUGAUGCCAGUUCUCAUCCAAGGCUCUAAGCAACCCGGCAACGACAUUGAUGUGUACCUAAGGCCAUUAGUUGAAGAACUUUUACAGCUGUGGAAUGGAAAUGGUGUACGUACGUGGGAUGAGCACAAACAGGAGUAAUUUGACCUAAAGGCGUUGCUAUUCGUGACCAUCAACGAUUGGCCCGCUCUCAGUAACCUUUUAGGACAGACAAACAAGGGAUACCACGCAUGCACGCACUGUUUACUUGACACCGAAAGUAUAUACCUGGGAAGCUGCAGGAAGAAUGUGUACCUGGGCCAUCAUUGAUUUCUUCCGACCAACCAUCAAUGUCGAAAGAAAGGCAAGCAUUUCAAAGGCGAGGCAGAUCACCGGAAGAAACCCGCCAUGCGUACCGGUGAUCACGUACUUGCUAUGGUCAAUGAUUUACACGUAAUCUUUGGAAAGGGUCCCGGCGCACUAGCUGUUCCGAAUGACGCUGGGGGACACGCACCCAUGUGGAAGAAGAAAUCUAUAUUUUGGGACCUACCCUACUGGAAAGACCUAGAGGUCCGCUCUUCAAUUGACGUCACUACAAGAAAUAUGUCAACUUGUGACCUUCUGUCAGUGACCCUAGAAGAAUUGGUCAUAGAUCUAUGACCAUUUCAGACCAAUUGGUCAAAAGCUGUUCGGGGGGCUCCAAACCCUAAACCAUUACGACCAUUUUGGUCAGAAAGGUCGUAAUUUCCUUACACGAAAUGGUCAUAAAGCAAACAGCGCUAGUCCGCUGCCUUAUUUCAUAGCCUUGUAAAUUGUGGUGGGUUGCGAUGACUAGGCGCCAUCUCAUCAGUUUUACCUAUGUGUCAUGUCCAUGUGGCAUUUUUUGCCCUAGGUUGUGAAGCAACCUAUAUUUCUGCAAUUCCCAAAAUUCCCAAACAAAUCUCAUAAAUUCUUUGGGUCAUAUCUUCGUCAAAUAUGUAAAAACCUUCCUUUCCUAGUUCAAAAAUAUUCAUUUUCCUAUUCUGUUCAGAACAAUAGUUUGUGAAGGAAGUACCACUUUGGCAUGUCCAAAUAGUAUCCAUUUUCUACAGUGCUUUCCUAUGCCCAAAUAACCAUCCUCCACCAAAUGCCAGCUCAAUCCAUUCAUUAUUUUGAGCCGAGCUUCAACAUUCGUAUUUAUGUCCAGUGUGGUGGUUUGCAAAGCAAGUACCACCUAGGCUCCUCCUUUUGAGCUGAAAAUUUGUGAAGACGGUCUUCUUAGUAACUGAUCAUCCUCAGCCAAAACUCACGGCCAUUAGCCAUGUACAUUUCCCGUACCGCUAAUCAAACACUUGGCUGCUUAUUCAUGUUUAAGCAUCGAUCGGUCUCCUCGUGGAAAUCUUAUGUUGUGAUUUUCUUCCUAGCACCUACCUGGGGAGUUCCCAAACCACUAGACAUGCCUAGGCCACCCAGAACACAUGGCAACGCCAUGGUCACGCGGUGACCACGCGGCGGGCAUGCGAGCUUACGCGCUCUAGAGUUGGGGCCCUCGGCCACCGUCGAAACCUCGAUGUCUCUCCAUCAAACCAUGUAUUUCUGAUUAAAUAGGUACUUAUGUAACUAGAAAUGAUUUUUGGAAAAAAUAAAUAGCAAACUAUGAGGCAGCUGCAGUUCAAAUUUGACCCGCUUCCAACUGAAUCGGCGGAAAUUUGUCUUUUUCACGAGAGGUGGAUCAAAACUUUUUACACCCAACCAUUUGGUCAAUUGUGCAUUAAAUAUGUCCUAGUAUUUUAGAAAAAUGAUUUGGUCCAAUUUUGCAACAAUUAUUUGGUAGUUCCUUCACAAAAAACCUCCUUUCGGGCACUCGAAAAAUGAAAAAUGGUUUUUUCGUCCAAAGAAAAUGAAAACUUCCUUAGGCAACAUUGUUUGCCAUUCCAAUAUGCACCCUUGUGCACAAUAUGAGAUCAUUUGAACAAACUAUGCCACGAAUGUGGCCAUAAGUUUGAUCAUUUGGCUUGAAAGCCAUUGAUCUCCACACGUGAUAGCUCGUUUCUGAGAACACUUUUUUAAAAUAAUUGCCGUAUUACAAGUUUGUUAUUUUUUCUGGGAACUUGGCCACAUAUAAUGACACAAUGCGAAGGUUUCCCAAUUUUUUGAUUUUUUUUUGAAUUUUUUAUGCCCGUUUCAAAAUGCGGUCAAAACAGCGGGAAUGACCGUUCCUAGCUAGUUGUUGAAUCUUGGAAUUGUUUUGGUGUUUUUCUGAUUAAAUAGGUACUUAUAUACCUAGAAAUGAUUUUUGGAAAAAAUAAAUAGCAAACUAUGAGGCAGCUGCAGUUC